rnacentral:rRNA from 1 species
CGGGAGGCAGCAGUGAGGAAUAUUGGUCAAUGGGCGCAAGCCUGAACCAGCCACGUCGCGUGAAGGAAGACGGCCCUACGGGUUGUAAACUUCUUUUGCAAGGGAAUAAAGUUGGCCACGCGUGGCCUUUUGCAUGUACCUUGCGAAUAAGGAUCGGCUAACUCCGUGCCAGCAGCCGCGGUAAUACGGAGGAUCCGAGCGUUAUCCGGAUUUAUUGGGUUUAAAGGGUGCUCAGGCGGGGGAUUAAGUCGGCGGUGAAAUUUUGCGGCUCAACCGUAAAAGUGCCUUCGAAACUGGUUUCCUUGAGUGUGGAUGAGGUAGGCGGAAUUUGUGGUGUAGCGGUGAAAUGCAUAGAUAUCACGAGGAACUCCGAUUGCGCAGGCAGCUUACUAAGCCAUAACUGACGCUCAAGCACGAAGGCGUGGGGAUCAAACAGGAUUAGAUACCCUGGUAGUCCACGCAGUAAACGAUGAUUACUGGCUGUGUGCGAUAUAAUGU